rnacentral:rRNA from 1 species
CGGGAGGCAGCAGUGGGGAAUAUUGCACAAUGGAGGAAACUCUGAUGCAGCAACGCCGCGUGGAGGAUGACACAUUUCGGUGCGUAAACUCCUUUUAUAUGAGAAGAUAAUGACGGUAUCAUAUGAAUAAGCACCGGCUAACUC